rnacentral:RNase_P_RNA from 1 species
GAGGAAAGUCCGGACUCCACAGAGCACGGUGGUUGCUAACAGCAACCCAGGGUGACCUGCGGGAUAGUGCCACAGAAAACAAACCGCCUCCCGCCUGCGCGAGGAGGUAAGGGUGAAACGGUGCGGUAAAAGCGCACCAGCGCGUCAGGCGACUGGCGCGGCUCGGUAAACCCCACCAGGAGCAAGGCAAGAGGGCGUACCAGCUGUGGUAUGCCUGCGCGGACAUAGGCUGCUCGCCCAGUCUGCGGGUACGCUGCUUGAGGCCGCCAGCAAUGGCCGGUCCAGAUGGAUGUUCACCACUUCCCGUCGCUGCAUGGCGGGGAGGACAGAAUCCGGCUUA